UUUGGUGGUCAUAGCGUUGGCUAAACACCCGAUCCCAUCCCGAACUCGGCCGUUAAGGGCCAACACGCCGAUGGUACUGCGUCUUAAGACGUGGGAGAGUAGGUCACCGCCAAAC
rnacentral:rRNA from 1 species